AACGAACGCUGGCGGCAGGCUUAACACAUGCAAGUCGAGCGCCCCGCAAGGGGAGCGGCAGACGGGUGAGUAACGCGUGGGAAUCUACCCAUCUCUACGGAAUAACGCAUGGAAACGUGUGCUAAUACCGCAUACGUCCUUCGGGAGAAAGAUUUAUCGGAGGUGGAUGAGCCCGCGUUGGAUUAGCUAGUUGGUGGGGUAAAGGCCUACCAAGGCGACGAUCCAUAGCUGGUCUGAGAGGAUGAUCAGCCACACUGGGACUGAGACACGGCCCAGACUCCUACGGGAGGCAGCAGUGGGGAAUAUUGGACAAUGGGCGCAAGCCUGAUCCAGCCAUGCCGCGUGAGUGAUGAAGGCCCUAGGGUUGUAAAGCUCUUUCACCGGUGAAGAUAAUGACGGUAACCGGAGAAGAAGCCCCGGCUAACUUCGUGCCAGCCGCCGCCGUAAUAC
rnacentral:rRNA from 1 species